rnacentral:other from 1 species
AGUUCACUGCGGCGUUGGUGACUGCCAACUAAUGUUUCUCGAUCUAUGCUUGUUCGACAAGGGAAUCUAGAUGUUUCGAUGGCAGUAUACCGAGCAUUGCACUCGGAAACUUAAAAUCGAGACCAAGGUACCCACCUGGUUAUACCAGGUCGAAAACUGAGGUAAGACGGCGUUGCGGUGAAUAC